rnacentral:rRNA from 1 species
GAUGAACGCUGGCGGCGUGCCUAAUACAUGCAAGUCGAGCGAACGGACGAGAAGCUUGCUUCUCUGAUGUUAGCGGCGGACGGGUGAGUAACACGUGGAUAACCUACCUAUAAGACUGGGAUAACUUCGGGAAACCGGAGCUAAUACCGGAUAAUAUUUUGAACCGCAUGGUUCAAAAGUGAAAGACGGUCUUGCUGUCACUUAUAGAUGGAUCCGCGCUGCAUUAGCUAGUUGGUAAGGUAACGGCUUACCAAGGCAACGAUGCAUAGCCGACCUGAGAGAGUGAUCGGCCACACUGGAACUGAGACACGGUCCAGACUGCUACGGGAGGCAGCAGUAGGGAAUCUUCCGCAAUGGGAGAAAGCCUGACGGAGCAACGCCGCGUGAGUGAUGAAGGUAUUCGGAUCGGAAAACUCUGUUAUUAGGGAAGAACAUAUGUGUAAGUAACUGUGCAAAUCUUGACGGUACCUAAUCAGAAAGCCACGGCUAACUACGUG